rnacentral:rRNA from 1 species
UACGGAGGAUGCGAGCGUUAUCCGGAUUUAUUGGGUUUAAAGGGUGCGUAGGCGGGUUAUCAAGUCAGCGGUAAAAUCGUGGAGCUCAACUCCAUCCAGCCGUCGAAACUGAUGAUCUUGAGUGGGCGAGAAGUAUGCGGAAUGCGUGGUGUAGCGGUGAAAUGCAUAGAUAUCACGCAGAACUCCGAUUGCGAAGGCAGCAUACCGGCGCCCGACUGACGCUGAAGCACGAAAGCGUGGGUAUCGAACAGG